GACGAACGCUGGCGGCAUGCCUAACACAUGCAAGUCGAACGAGAAAGCACUUUCGGGUGUGAUUAAAGUGGCGAACGGGUGAGUAACGCGUAGGUAAUCUGCCCUAUAGUCGGGGAUAAACACUGGAAACGGUGUCUAAUACCGGAUGUGAACGGAUACUUCAUGGUAUCCAGUUUAAAGUAUUUUUAUGCUAUAGGAUGAGCCUGCGUCGUAUUAGCUAGUUGGUAAGGUAAGGGCUUACCAAGGCAACGAUGCGUAGCGGAUUUGAGAGAGUGAUCCGCCACACUGGGACUGAGAUACGGCCUAGACUCCUACGGGAGGCAGCAGUGAGGAAUAUUGCGCAAUGGACGAAAGUCUGACGCAGCAAUGCCGCGUGAAUGAAGAAGGCCUAUGGGUUGUAAAAUUCUGUCAGAAGGGAAGAACAUGUCGGUUAGCAGCUGAUAUUGACGGUACCUUCAGAGGAAGCUCCGGCUAACUCCGUGCCAGCAGCCG
rnacentral:rRNA from 1 species